UAUAUCAUAAUCAGACUGCCGCUUGCUCGCUUCUACGCUUGCACGCCGGCGUAUAUUGAGGUUUUCGCGUAAAUGCGUGCCUUUAAAUUAUUCACUCAACGUGUGAGCCAGUGCGAUUCGCAACAAACGACAUUACGUUUCGUUGUCGGUUUCGCGGGAUUACGACGGGUUGUGUGUCCUAGAGUAUUUUAUUCUUUGCGACCCUUCCGCACGUCAGAAACCCGGACCGCUUCGAUAUUAUAGCGUUCUGUCGGCGUUUCGUACGAUUCGAAGGUUCCUCGUAGUCGUUCGCAUUCACAGAAUGCCGUUCGAUAUCACAAAA
rnacentral:misc_RNA from 1 species